UCGCUGAUGGUCUAGUGGUCAGGAUUCGGCGCUGUCACCGCUGAGACCUGGGUUUGAUUCCUGGGCAGGGAA
rnacentral:tRNA from 1 species